GGGGGNAACCCUGAUCCAGCAAUGCCGCGUGAGUGAAGAAGGCCUUCGGGUUGUAAAGCUCUUUUGUCAGGGAAGAAACACCGGCUCUAACACAGUCCGGGAAUGACGGUACCUGAAGAAUAAGCACCGGCUAACUACGUGCCAGCAGCCGCGGUAAUACGUAGGGUGCGAGCGUUAAUCGGAAUUACUGGGCGUAAAGCGUGCGCAGGCGGUUAUACAAGACAGGCGUGAAAUCCCCGGGCUUAACCUGGGAAUGGCGCCUGUGACUGUAUAGCUAGAGUGUGUCAGAGGGGGGUAGAAUUCCACGUGUAGCAGUGAAAUGCGUAGAUAUGUGGAGGAAUACCAAUGGCGAAGGCAGCCCCCUGGGAUAACACUGACGCUCAUGCACGAAAGCGUGGGGAGCAAACAGGAUUAGAUACCCUGGUAGUCCACGCCCUAAACGAUGCUGACUAGUUGUUCGGGAUUUACAUCCUGAGUAACG
rnacentral:rRNA from 1 species